rnacentral:rRNA from 1 species
UACGGGGGGAGCAAGCGUUGUUCGGAUUUACUGGGCGUAAAGGGCGCGUAGGCGGCCUCUGCAAGUCGACUGUGAAAUCUCCGGGCUUAACCCGGAAAGGUCAGCCGAUACUGCAGGGCUAGAGUGCAGAAGGGGCAACUGGAAUUCUCGGUGUAGCGGUGAAAUGCGUAGAUAUCGAGAGGAACACCUGCGGCGAAGGCGGGUUGCUGGGCUGACACUGACGCUGACAGCGCGAAAGCUAGGGGAGCGAACGGG